CUACGGGGUGCUGCAGUGAGGAAUAUUGCACAAUGGGGGAAACCCUGAUGCAGCAACGCCGCGUGGAGGAUGACGCAUUUCGGUGUGUAAACUCCUUUUAUCAGAGAAGAAGAUGACGGUAUCUGAUGAAUAAGCUCCGGCUAACUCCGUGCCAGCAGCCGCGGUAAUACGGAGGGAGCAAGCGUUAUUCGGAAGCACUGGGCGUAAAGGACGCGUAGGCGGGUUAGAAAGUCAGGUGGUGAAAGCCAACAGCUCAACUGUUGAACAGCACUUGAAACUCCUAACCUAGAGUAUGGAAGGGGCAGAUGGAAUUAGUGGUGUAGGGGUAAAAUCCGUAGAUAUCACUAGGAAUACCGAAAGCGAAAGCGAUCUGCUGGGACAUUACUGACGCUGAGGCGUGAAAGCGUGGGGAGCAAACAGGAUUAGAUACCCGCGUAGUC
rnacentral:rRNA from 1 species